rnacentral:tRNA from 1 species
GUCUCCUUCGUCUAGUGGUUAGGACACCGGGUUUUCAUCCCGGCAACACGAGUUCGACUCUCGUAGGAGAUG